rnacentral:rRNA from 1 species
CCUACGAGAGGCAGCAGUGGGGAAUAUUGCACAAUGGGGGGAACCCUGAUGCAGCGACGCCGCGUGAGCGAAGAAGGUUUUCGAAUCGUACAGCUCUGUCCUAUGAGAAGAUAAUGACGGUAUCAUAGGAGGAAGCCCCGGCCAAAUACGUGCCAGCAGCCGCGGUAAUACGUAUGGGGCGAGGGUUGUCCGGAAUUAUUGGGCGUAAAGGGUACGGAGGCGGUUUUUUAAGUCAGGUGGGAAAGCGUGAGGCUUAACCUCAUUAAGCACUUGGAACUGGAAGACUUGAGUGAAGGAGAGGAAAGUGGAAUUCCUAGUGUAGCGGUGAAAUGCGUAGAUAUUAGGAGGAAUACCGGUGGCGAAGGCGACUUUCUGGACUUUUACUGACGCUCAGGUACGAAAGCGUGGGGAGCAAACAGGAUUAGAUACCCCUGUAGUC